UUUGAUGGCCAUAGCAUAUGGGCACCACCUGAUCCAUCUCGAACUCAGAAGUGAAACCAUAUAGCGCCGAUGGUAGUAUAGGGUCUCCCUAUGUGAGAGUAGGUCACUGUCAGCU
rnacentral:rRNA from 1 species